GUCUACAAAGAUUUUAUCACAACUGUGAAAAUAGCAUUUCUCCAUUCUACUUAAUUUUCCACAAAAAGUGGGGGAAAAAAAGGAAAAUAAAGUCCACGGGAGAUUUUUUCCAAAGGAAUAAUUAUACCUGAUAUAUGAAGAAAAUGAAGCAGCUUGAAGAAGGUUGGAAAUCAAAGGAAUUGGCAAGAUGUAACAGGGAAGAGCAGCGAGACUGAAGGCAAGUAAAGCGACUUCGUGAGCUCAACAGCUAGGAGGGGUUGUGGAAGAAUCACAUAAAUGGAAAUGGAAAUUGUUUCAACUUGAGAACAGAGAACAUAUAGCUCUAAGAAGGACAUCUACUUCAUUUCUAAUUUUACUUUGAGGCAAUUUAUAUGAAUUUGUGAACUGCGGGAAGGGCAGCCCAAUUUGAAAAUGAUGCAUUGUAGAAUGUGUAAAUAAAAGAUGUGGUAGGACACAGACAUUAAUACAUUUUAAAUAUUUUACAUACACGGCUCUCUCUUCCAGGAGCU